GGACAAAAGAGGACGACUAGGAGGAAAGCUCGCCACAGGAAGCUUUUCUCUGAGCACAUAAUCACUCCCAACAGAGUGUGCUUUUGAAUGGAGGAGAAGAAGGUAUGACUUAAAGGGGCUGUAUCAGAACUGAGCAGGGACACUGUUCAGUUUGUUGUUGAAUUCCAGUGCUAAUAUUAUCAGCAUGGGCCUGGAAGCAGAUUGUCUGAACUCAAAAUCCAGAACCUUCAUCAAGUUACUCAACCUCUGGAAAACAGUGUGGAACACACGAAAAACGUCUGUUCCUUUGACCUGCUCUAUGUUGCAAGGACAGGAUAAUAUCCUUUUCACUCUGGGAACUGCUCCUUCUUUCUGGUCCUAGACCAGUGAUGGCGAACCUAUGACACGCGUGUCAGAGGUGAC